rnacentral:rRNA from 1 species
UCGUCUAUAUACGUAUAGCAUAUCAAUAAGCGGAGGAAAAGAAACUAACUAAGGAUUCCCUCAGUAACGGCGAGUGAAGCGGGAAGAGCUCAAAUUUGAAAUCUUCAAGGUUUUACCUUGACGAAUUGUAGUUUAAAGAAGUGUUUUCUGUUGAAGUUUCGGUAAAAGUUCUUUGGAAUAGGACAUCAUAGAGGGUGAGAAUCCCGUAUUUGACCAGUUAUUUUCCAGCUGUGUGAUACACUUUCAAAGAGUCGGAUUGUUUGGGAAUGCAGUCCAAAAUGGGUGGUAAAUUUCAUCUAAAGCUAAAUACUGGCGAGAGACCGAUAGCGAACAAGUACCGUGAGGGAAAGAUGAAAAGAACUUUGAAAAGAGAGUUAAACAGUACGUGAAAUUGUCAAAAGGGAAGCGUUUGACACCAGUGUUGUUUUCUCGAAAAUCAAUUAAAAAUGGUGGAUUUUGUGUUGUAUUGACUUUAAUCAGCUUUCUUCACUUUUUUCCUGUCUUUUUUAAUGCACUUUUCGUUUAACAAGUCAACAUCAAUUUCUUUUGUUGUAAAAGAGUCAUUGGAAGGUGGCUUUCUUUUCGGAGAAAGUGUUUAUAGCCUUUGACUUCUGCAAUCGGAGAGAUUGAGGUCUGCAGCGUAGAUCCUUCUGGAUUAGAUUCAUUUGUGCUAAGUUAUAGCCUUUUCAUAGACAACUUGUUGACUAUGAUCAGUCAUGUAGCUUACUCGCUUAUGUCAUUUUACCUACGCUUAGGAUGUUGAUCUGUAGUGCGUGCGC